UACGAAGGGUGCAAGCGUUGUUCGGAUUUAUUGGGCGUAAAGCGCGCGCAGGCGGAUAUGCAAGUCAGAUGUGAAAUCCCGGGGCUCAACCUCGGAACUGCGUCUGAAACUGCAUAUCUAGAAUCUCGGAGAGGGAGGCGGAAUUUCGCAUGUAGGGGUAAAAUCCGUAGAGAUGCGAAGGAACACCAGAGGCGAAGGCGGCCUCCUGGACGAGUAUUGACGCUGAGGCGCGAAAGCGUGGGGAGCAAACAGG
rnacentral:misc_RNA from 1 species